ACCCGCUGAAUUUAAGCAUAUAAGUAGGCGGUGGAUAAGAAUCUCAUAAGGACCCCUUUAGCAAUGGCGAAUGCAUCAGGGCAGGCUCAGUCUGGAAAUCAGAUCAUAUUGCCAUGAGUUGUAGGCAAGCGAUGUGCUACCAAUUGAGAUGCAGUAAGAUGCCCUUGGAAAAGAGCAUAGAUAAGGGUGACAAUCCUUUGUGUCGUCUGCAGCCUUCAGUGCACGGUGUAUCUUCUAUGAGUCAUGCACCUCGGGAAUAGUGCGUGAAACAGGUGGUACAAUUCAUGCAAAGCAGUAUCUUUGUUUGAGACCCCUAGCGAACAAGUACCAUGAGGGAAUGGUGAAACAGGACUCUGUAAAGAGAGGUAACAGUGUCUGAACCUGCUGGAAGGGACAUGGAGGGCACCAGUGUAGCCUGGUGAGAUUGUUGUGUGCGCGCGUGAUUGCCUGCUGCAUUUAGCAAUGGUGCAUUAGGUCUGAGGCAAAACACAUACAUUGUUUCUAACCGACCAGCCACCACCAGUUCAUUGCAUUAGAACACCACCAGGAUUUAUGGCAGCCUGCCUCGGUGCGGGUGAACACUUUUGUCCAACUUGUGCAUGCCCUGCUCGGAACAAUGCGUGGGCCCGUUCAUCCCGUCUUGAAACACGGACCAAGGAGUCUAGCAUUCCUGCGAGCUCAUGGGUGUCAACUAUCUAUGAUUGCGCAACGAAAAUAUUGGCUGGUAUAUGUGCAUCGGCAACAAACUUUUUCGAUGAUGGAAAGUAUGAGUGUGAGCGCGCCUGCUAGGACCCGAAAGAUGGUGAGCUAUGCCUGUGGAAGGCAAACCCAGGGGAAACUCUGACGGAAGCCUGUAGCGGUACUGACGUGCAAAUCGUUCGUUGUAUAUGGGUAUGGGGGCGAAAGACUAAUCGAACCAUCUAGUAGCUGGUUCCCUCCGA
rnacentral:rRNA from 1 species